rnacentral:rRNA from 1 species
GACGAACGCUGGCGGCGUGCCUAAUACAUGCAAGUAGGACGCAGUAGCGAACGGGGGAGUAACGCGUAGGUAACUGCCUAUUAGAGGGGGAUAACUAUUGGAAACGAUAGCUAAUACAGCAUAAUAGGAGAUGGACCUGCGUUGUAUUAGCGAGUAGGUAGGGUAAUGGCCUACCUAUGCAACGAUACAUAGCCGACUUGAGAGGGUGAUCGGCCACACUGGGAUUGGUGAUCGGCCCUGACUCCUUCGGUGGGGCACAGUAGGGGAUCUUCGGACAGUGGGGGAAACCUGACUGUGACACGCCGCGUUAGUGGAGAUGGUUUUCGGAUCGUAAAUCUCUGUUGUUAUGGAAUCGGUACUUAACCAGAAAGGGACGGCUAACUACGUGCCAGCAGCCGCGGUAAUUC